GGCUUGCGCGGCACGCUGAGCGCCCGCGGGAGCUCUGCAAAGCGGACAGGUUCGGUCGGUGCCGGGCUGAGCGCUCCGGCGUCCGUGGGGGUAGACUUGUUGAUCCUUUGUAAUCUGUUCCCAGGCAUGUGCCUCGUUCUUCUCAUCCGCCCUGAAAGCAGAUUUAAGGAUAAAUCACUUCAGGAUUUUGUCAGCGCGAAGGCUCGUUAGCGUGACAGAAAUCAUUUAAGUCUUCAUUCACUAGAAUAAGUUCUGUCUACUGCUUUGAAAUAUAUUCUUAAGUGAUACCAAUUCUGAAGGAGAACUAAUUUGCUUAAAUAACACUUGUGAAUGACCACAUGACUGUAGCAGCAGGUUGACAAUUGCAUUUUUCGCGCUCUCUGGUCUGGAUAUGUUGGAUUCCUUAGAUGUGGUGAACAAAGAUGAUAUAAUAGAAUGGAUUUAUUCCCUUCAGGUCCUUCCCACAGAAGACAGUGAGUGAGUUUUUAGUUUUUAUUUAUUGAUAAUAACUAAUUUACUUUUGCUUUUCACCUGCGUAAAUAGUGGUAUGAAAUUAAAAGAAAAAAAACGACAAAAAAAAACAAACUUGACCUUCACAAUUUGAAAUAGCAAUAUCUAACAAUUCUUAGAAACAGAUAACACCCUCCUAAGAAAAGUAGAAGUGUUUAGUUUUAACUUCCUCAUGUAUUUAAAGUGAAGCUAUGAAAUGAAUUUCAAGGUAAGACAGUAUAAAAUAAUAAUGAAGUUGCACCUUUAAGCAUCUCAGAGAAAUGUUUCACCUUUUCCUAAAAUAAAUGCAUUUUGAAUAAGCUGUGUGGACCUAGUAGUGGUUAUAUUGACUUCUCCUGUUGUAGCCAUGCCAGAAGCAAUGAGCACAGGUAUGGUUAUUUGGAACAGCUGUUGGAAAAAGGGAGGUAUAAGAUUAAGAAGCAGAGAGGAUAAAUACAGUUCUAGUUUGAAAAAUCUGUUCUCUAGCUUUGUGAUUUUUAUUUAUCUCAUGUUUUCGAUAGUAAUGCUGCUGCUGUAUCCCAGCUGUUCCCAAACUGGAAGGUGCACAACAGCUCCAAGCUGGGGAAGGGGGCUCAUGGGAAGUGGCUCUCUAUGGGUGACUUGAUAGAAGUUGAGAGGGUAUUUCUGGCAUAUUUUCAGUGGCAGGUGAGUGGCUAAUAGCAGUACAGAAAAUGGAAUGGAAUGGAGGGAGCUGUGAGUGAGACACUGCUAUUUUAUGAUGUGAGGUACUGGCAUGUUCAGUACUAAACUAGAGAUCGCUCCAGGCUGGUCUUAGAGCAGAGAUAAUUCCAGGUGCUAUUCUGUAAAAAGAACUUCUAUGAAGUGAGCAUGUGAAAGUCAGGGUUGCUUACGGAUAGUUACAGUCAUAAAGAGAUUCUCUUUCUUGUGCCAACUUAGAAACUACGAGAUGCACUUUGGACAUUAGCUCUUAUAGAUGCUUUUCUUGUGUUGUAUUCUGAGACAAAUUACAGGAAAUUGUUACCACAUGAGAAGGCUCCUGUUCCGUAGUGUUAGAAUUUUUUCCAAGGUGAACAUGCUUUAUUUGUAGCAGUUGAAUACUUUCUGUUGUGUGCCGGUCUUCAGGACUGUAUUCUGACAGAACAGUCACAACAGUAUUCUUCUUUUACCAGAUACACUGAUGGACUGUGAAGCAGCUGCUAAACAGCCAAAAAAUACUGCUCAGACAGAACAAGCUUCAAGAAAAGAGAUUAGAGUAGUUAAUUUUUUAAUUUGUCUUUGAUAGAGUUUGACUUUUUUUUUUCUUUCUACCUAGCCAAUAUCUGGGAUAGUCCUAUAGUCAAAAAUCUAAUAGGAAAGUCAAGGUCAGUAUAACUCCCAGAGACAAACAUGGAGUCUAACAGUCCAGGAAAGAUGUCUUACCCCUCUCCCCCCAUUCCUCCUUCCCCCUAGCAUUUAACAAAAUAUGAAAUAACAGGGCAGUAGCUUUGGGGAAGAUGCCA